ACGAACGCUGGCGGCGUGCUUAACACAUGCAAGUCGAACGGAAAGGCCCUGCUUUUGUGGGGUGCUCGAGUGGCGAACGGGUGAGUAACACGUGAGUAACCUGCCCUUGACUUUGGGAUAACUUCAGGAAACUGGGGCUAAUACCGGAUAGGAGCUCCUGCUGCAUGGUGGGGGUUGGAAAGUUUCGGCGGUUGGGGAUGGACUCGCGGCUUAUCAGCUUGUUGGUGGGGUAGUGGCUUACCAAGGCUUUGACGGGUAGCCGGCCUGAGAGGGUGACCGGCCACAUUGGGACUGAGAUACGGCCCAGACUCCUACGGGAGGCAGCAGUGGGGAAUAUUGCACAAUGGGCGGAAGCCUGAUGCAGCAACGCCGCGUGCGGGAUGACGGCCUUCGGGGUGUAAACCGCUUUCGCCUGUGACGAAGCGUGAGUGACGGUAAUGGGUAAAGAAGCACCGGCUAACUACGUG
rnacentral:rRNA from 1 species